AGUGAACGCUGGCGGUAGGCCUAACACAUGCAAGUCGAACGGCAGCACAGUAAGAGCUUGCUCUUACGGGUGGCGAGUGGCGGACGGGUGAGGAAUACAUCGGAAUCUACUUUUUCGUGGGGGAUAACGUAGGGAAACUUACGCUAAUACCGCAUACGACCUACGGGUGAAAGCAGGGGAUCUUCGGACCUUGCGCGAUUGAAUGAGCCGAUGUCGGAUUAGCUAGUUGGCGGGGUAAAGGCCCACCAAGGCGACGAUCCGUAGCUGGUCUGAGAGGAUGAUCAGCCACACUGGAACUGAGACACGGUCCAGACUCCUACGGGAGGCAGCAGUGGGGAUUAUUGGACAAUGGGCGCAAGCCUGAUCCAGCCAUACCGCGUGGGUGAAGAAGGCCUUCGGGUUGUAAAGCCCUUUUGUUGGGAAAGAAAAGCAGCAGGUUAAUACCCCGCUGUUCUGACGGUACCCAAAGAAUAAGCAACGGCUAACUUCGUG
rnacentral:rRNA from 1 species